UACGUAGGGUGCGAGCGUUGUCCGGAAUUACUGGGCGUAAAGGGCUUGUAGGUGGUUUGUCGCGUUGUUCGUGAAAACCGGGGGCUUAACUCUCGGCGUGCGGGCGAUACGGGCAGACUGGAGUACUGCAGGGGAGACUGGAAUUCCUGGUGUAGCGGUGGAAUGCGCAGAUAUCAGGAGGAACAUCGGUGGCGAAGGCGGGUCUCUGGGCAGUAACUGACGCUGAGGAGCGAAAGCGUGGGGAGCGAACAGG
rnacentral:rRNA from 1 species